AUGAUAUGCUUCUUCGCAGUCGAGUGGCACUUUGUAGACCGUGUGGCAAGACAAUUUGGAAGAAGACAAGGUAUUCCAAUUGAGGAGAGCAAGGAGGAAAUGCUAUCUCUGCAUCGGUUCGAUCGAAGGAACAAUCAGGAUAUAUCGGAUUGGGCAAACAAACAUCGUGCGUGGAUAGAAAUUUGGAAUCAAAGAGACACGUUAGUGCAAUCAGAGAAUAGACCUCACAAUCAGUCAGCAUAUCAGAAGUAUCAAGUGUGGUAUGCGGAUCGUUACCGGUUAAAGCUGAAGCCUGGUUGGACUCAUGAGGAGUGGUCGGAGUUGGUGUCUGAAGACCCGGAGACUGCACAAGGUUAUCAAACCUUCAACACGGCUGUGAGAGACACCAGAGGGGCUCACGUUGACUAUGCACCAAUGCAUGAUGAAAUGGUAGUCUGUUUGACCUUUUCUAACAUACUUGCAUCAUGUUGUCUUCUUUCAAAUACAUAA
rnacentral:rRNA from 1 species